rnacentral:lncRNA from 1 species
AUGCUCUGCGACAUUCUUUACAGACGGUCUCAGAAAACACCAGGGCCCCUCCAGCCAGACCAGUCAGUGCAAAUCAGUCUUAUUCUUGACAAACAGCAUUCAUAUCCCUGCUGUCAGGUUCAUCGCAGUGGGCUCAGAGUUCUGUUUGAGAAAUGCUCCUGCCCAGAAAAAAUAUUUACACAACGGAGAGUAGGCUGCACUGCACCACAGCCGUCUACCUUCUCUGCCACGAGACUUAGACUCUCUCUGAUUGACCAGCUCUUAUCUGUGGCCUUUGUACCUCAUUUAACAUCAGCAUGGAAACAAAACUUGGAGCCAAAUAACUGACGAGACACUUAAGAUAAACUAUAUUAUGUUGUUGGCUGUGUGGCACAGGAACGGCGGCUGCAUGGCACAGGGGCUACCCCACGUCCAAGGUCAGCAGCAGUGGCUGAGAGGAGCUACCCCACGUUCAAGGUCAGGGGUGGCAGCCAUGAGGAGAUACCACAUGUUCAAGGUAAGGAGCAGCAGCUGCGCUUUGCUGGAGCAGCCAUGAAGAGAUA